AUCUUGUAACUGGAUCACAGAGCAGGUAUUUUGUCCUUCUACAGCGUCUCUGAAACCAUGACUCUCCUCCACAGAGUCCAGACCACAUUCACUCAGCCGCUCUAUGCUGGACUGUUGGUUUACUAUAAUUAUGGAGACACUGCUGAGUUGAUUAA